UACGUAGGGCGCAAGCGUUAUCCGGAAUUAUUGGGCGUAAAGAGCGCGUAGGCGGCCCUGUAAGUCCGCUGUGAAAGUCAAGGGCUCAACCCUUGGAUGCCGGUGGAUACUGCAGGGCUAGAGUCCGGAAGAGGCGAGUGGAAUUCCUGGUGUAGCGGUGAAAUGCGCAGAUAUCAGGAAGAACACCAAUGGCGAAGGCAGCUCUCUGGGACGGUACUGACGCUGAGACGCGAAAGCGUGGGGAGCGAACAGG
rnacentral:rRNA from 1 species